CACGUAGGGCGCAAGCGUUGUCCGGAAUUAUUGGGCGUAAAGAGCUCGUAGGCGGUCUGUUGCGUCCGCUGUGAAAACUCGGGGCUUAACCCCGAGCCUGCAGUGGAUACGGGCAGACUAGAGGUAGGUAGGGGAGAAUGGAAUUCCCGGUGUAGCGGUGAAAUGCGCAGAUAUCGGGAGGAACACCGGUGGCGAAGGCGGCGUCCUGGACCAACACUGACACUGAGGAGCGAAAGCCAGGGGAGCAAACGGG
rnacentral:rRNA from 1 species